rnacentral:rRNA from 1 species
AGCGAACGUUAGCGGCGCGCCUAACACAUGCAAGUCGCACGAGAAAGGGCUUCGGCCCCGGUACAGUGGCGCACGGGUGAGUAACACGUGGGUAACCUUCCCCAGAGUGGUGGAUAACCUGCCGAAAGGCGGGCUAAUACAGCAUACGACCGGUUGUCUUCGGGCGAUUGGUGAAAGCAGGCCUCUGUAUACAAGCUUGCGCUCUAGGAUGGGCCCGCGUCCCAUCAGCUAGUUGGUGAGGUAACGGCUCACCAAGGCUACGACGGGUAGCUGGGCUGAGAGGAAGGCCAGCCACACUGGAACUGAGACACGGUCCAGACUCCUACGGGAGGCAGCAGUGGGGAAUCUUGCGCAAUGGACGAAAGUCUGACGCAGCGACGCCGCGUGGGCGACGAAGGCCUUCGGGUUGUAAAGCCCUGUGGGGCGGGACGAACACACUCUAUUCGAACAGGGUAGGGUGCUGACGGUACCGCCUUAGCAAGCACCGGCUAACUCUGUGCCAGCCGCCGCAGUAAGAC